UCAAACAGCAUUACGACUACCCGACACUUGGGACUACUACAAGCCAAGCAUAGCCCGCGUCGGGGACUUCGACUACUCCGACCUCAGGGUCGGGCGAGGCGGAGUCUCACUCAGGGUCGGGCGAGGCAGAGCUGCCCUUCCAAAGGGUCAGGCUCCGCCGACCCCAGGACUCAGGGUCGGGCGAAGCGGAGUCUCACUCGGGGUCGGACGAGGCGGAGCUGCCCUUCCAGAGGGUCGGGCUCAACCGACCCCAGGACUCAGGGUCGGGCGAAGCCGACCCCAAACCUCAAGGUCGAGCGAGACGAAUCCCCUCCCUAGAGGGUCGGGCACAGAAGAGUUGCAAUACUUCAAGUUUCAACGAAUUGGAGUAAAAACUACUCUUUGCAAGAUGACGACACAACAAAUCCAAAUGGCUCGACAUUUCAAAAUAUCAAAUGUACUCGAAUACAAGAGUAUACAAACAGCUCAAAACUCUUCUAAGGAGACAAACU
rnacentral:lncRNA from 1 species